UUUAAAACGUCGUGAGACAGUUUGGUCCUUAUCUGUUGCGGGCGCAGGAUAUUUGAGGAGAUCUUUCCCUAGUACGAGAGGACCGGGAUGGACGAACCUAUGGUGUACCAGUUGUUCCGCCAGGAGCAUCGCUGGGUAGCUAUGUUCGGCAGGGAUAACCGCUGAAAGCAUCUAAGCGGGAAGCCUACUUCAAGAUAAGAUAUCCCAUGGCGUAAAGUCAUCUGAAGGCUCGUGGUAGACCACCACGUCGAUAGGUCGGGUGUGGAAGUGCAGUAAUGCAUGCAGCUUACCGAUACUAAUCAGCCGUGCGGCUUAUCCAUAUU
rnacentral:rRNA from 1 species